GAAGCAGUAUCACAGCAGCAUCUUUGCUAAUGGUUUGGGUGAAAAACAACCAUUCGGUUUAAUAUUGGGACCUGGAAUGAAUGAUUCACUUGAAGAAUUACGUCAGUCUUAAGGACCAGGUUGAUAUAGUGAAUAUAUGUCAAAAGUGGGGCAUGAAAUCUGGUGGGUUUUAAAAGCCAAGUUGCCAAAAUGGAGCAGCAGAUAAUCGACAACAUAUGUGUUUUGGUCUGGGAUCCAGAAACAAGGUAUAACAACAUUUACACAAGGGAUGGUUCUGAACCACCGCCGAUUCCAUAUGAGCUUACCUCAUUGGCUGAAACCGCAAUUCAAGAUGCUCAAGCCCAUCUGGACGAUGA